GUCUAAUUAGGAGAUAGAAUGAGGCUUACAAAAGCGACAGGACAUAGUUGAUAUAUACAAGGCAGCAUAGAAAUUCAUUGUCCAUAACAAGGCAACAGGCAAUUGCCCUGGGAAGGGGUAAUGUACUGGUCAAAUUGGCUGUGAAUAAAUCCAGGAAGAUAUAAUUAAUCCAGGUUUAAUGAUCAUCCCCAUGCAGGUGACAUACAGAGACAGAGACAGAAAGAGAGAGAGACCUUGAGGGCAAACACUGCUUCCUUCUAAUUACCCAGAGGGAAAGAGCCACUGCCUGGACUUGGAACACUUAGGUGGUGACGGGGAGAAAUGAAGGCUAUCCAGGAAGGCAGUUUUGCUCUAGCUUUGUGCAUCUCAUCUCAGAGCAAGGCUACUUGGGUGCCCCAGACAAGGUUGAUAAAUGUUGCUUCCUUCAGGUUAUUAUUCUCCUUGGCGGGUUUAAUUCCUUCAUUGUAAAAUGAAUAUGAUUAGGGAAAUGAUAAGGGAAAAAGGAAAAGAAUGUAAUGGAAUACUACUGUGCAGUAAGAAAUGAUGAACAGGCAGAUUUCAGAAAAAU